GGAAGCUGUGAAAUCAGGGGUUUAACCCGAUACAAACUAGUCUCUCUGGGGAGGAUAUAAAGGUGUUUAACCCGAUACAAACUAGUCUCUCUGGGGAGGAUAUAAAGGUGUUUAACCCGAUACAAACUAGUCUCUCUGGGGAGGAUAUAAAAGGUUAACUUGUGCCUGGGAAGCUGUGAAAUCAGGGGUUUAACCCGAUACAAACUAGUCUCUCUGGGGAGGUUAUAAAGGGGUUUAACCCGAUACAAACUAGUCUCUCUGGGGAGGUUAUAAAGGGGUUUAACCCGAUACAAACUAGUCUCUCUGGGGAGGUUAUAAAGGUGUUUAACCCGAUACAAACUAGUCUCUCUCAGGAGGACAUGAAGGGGUUUAACCCGAUACAAACUAGUCUCUCUGGGGAGGUUAUAAAGGGGUUUAACCCGAUACAAACUAGUCUCUCUCAGGAGGACAUGAAGGGGUUUAACCCGAUACAAACUAGUCUCUCUGGGGAGGUUAUAAAGGGGUUUAACCCGAUACAAACUAGUCUCUCUCAGGAGGACAUGAAGGGGUUUAACCCGAUACAAACUAGUCUCUCUGGGGAGGUUAUAAAGGGGUUUAACCCGAUACAAACUAGUCUCUCUCAGGAGGACAUGAAGGGGUUUAACCCGAUACAAACUAGUCUCUCUGGGGAGGAUAUAAAGGGGUUUAACCCGUCUCUCUGGGGAGGAUAUAAA